GACGAACGCUGGCGGCGUGCUUAACACAUGCAAGUCGAACGGAAAGGCCCUGCUUUUGUGGGGUGCUCGAGUGGCGAACGGGUGAGUAACACGUGAGUAACCUGCCCUUGACUUUGGGAUAACUUCAGGAAACUGGGGCUAAUACCGGAUAGGAGCUCCUGCUGCAUGGUGGGGGUUGGAAAGUUUCGGCGGUUGGGGAUGGACUCGCGGCUUAUCAGCUUGUUGGUGGGGUAGUGGCUUACCAAGGCUUUGACGGGUAGCCGGCCUGAGAGGGUGACCGGCCACAUUGGAACUGGAGAAGGGCCAGGAUUCCAACGGAGGCGGCAGUGGGGAAUAUUGCACAAUGGGCGGAAGCCUGAUGCAGCAACGCCGCGUGCGGGAUGACGGCCUUCGGGUUGUAAACCGCUUUCGCCUGCGACGAAGCGUGAGUGACGGUAAUGGGUAAAGAAGCACCGGCUAACUACGUG
rnacentral:rRNA from 1 species